rnacentral:rRNA from 1 species
UGGGGAAUAUUGCACAAUGGAGGGAACUCUGAUGCAGCGACGCCGCGUGAACGAAGAAGGCUUUCGAGUCGUAAAGUUCUUUUAUAUGGGAAGAUAAUGACGGUACCAUAAGAAGAAGCCCCGGCUAACUACGUGCCAGCAGCCGCGGUAAUACGUAGGGGGCUAGCGUUGUCCGGAAUCACUGGGCGUAAAGGGUUCGCAGGCGGAAAUGCAAGUCAGGUGUAAAAGGCAGUAGCUUAACUACUGUAAGCAUUUGAAACUGCAUAUCUUGAGAAGAGUAGAGGUAAGUGGAAUUUUUAGUGUAGCGGUGAAAUGCGUAGAUAUUAAAAAGAAUACCGGUGGCGAAGGCGACUUACUGGGCUCAUUCUGACGCUGAGGAACGAAAGCGUGGGUAGCAAAUAGG